GUCUAUGGCCAUGACACUCUGAACAAGCCCGAUCCCAUCUGAUCUUGGAAGCUAAGCAGGAUCAGACCUGGUUAGUACUUGGGUGGGAGACCACCUAGGAAGACCAGGUACUGUAGGUA
rnacentral:rRNA from 1 species